AGAGGCCAAUGGGGCAAUCUUUGAUCGCUCCAAAGGCAAGGCGAAGCGGGAGGAGGACAUCGACGAGUGAACCUCCAACCGCCAUCAAAAGAAGAAGAACAAGCAAUGGCGCGAGGCUCCCCUUGUGGCUGUUGCCAAGCGCAAACGGGGACAGCCGCCUCCCGAUGGCACCCCCAGCUUCUUCGACAAGUUGCUUGAGGGACCGUG
rnacentral:lncRNA from 1 species